GAUGAACGCUGGCGGCGUGCCUAACACAUGCAAGUCGAGCGAAGCAUUUAACAUGAAGUUUUCGGACGGAAUGUUAUCUGACUGAGCGGCGGACGGGUGAGUAACGCGUGGGUAACCUGCCUUAUACAGGGGGAUAACAGUCAGAAAUGACUGCUAAUACCGCAUAAGCGCACAGUACCGCAUGGUAGUGUGUGAAAAACUCCGGUGGUAUAAGAUGGACCCGCGUCUGAUUAGCCAGUUGGCGGGGUAACGGCCCACCAAAGCGACGAUCAGUAGCCGACCUGAGAGGGUGACCGGCCACAUUGGGACUGAGACACGGCCCAA
rnacentral:rRNA from 1 species